rnacentral:sRNA from 1 species
GCCAGGUGCGGUGAUACACACCUGUAAUCCCAGCUACUUGGGAGGCUGAGGCAGGAGGAUCACAACUUCCAGGUCGGCCUGGGCAACUUAGUAAGACUUUGUCUCCA